rnacentral:tRNA from 2 species
CGGGAUGUGGCUCAGCUUGGUAGAGCGCAGCGUUCGGGACGCUGAGGCCGGAGGUUCGAAUCCUCUCAUCCCGACCA